rnacentral:rRNA from 1 species
UACGUAGGGGGCAAGCGUUGUCCGGAAUCAUUGGGCGUAAAGCGCGUGUAGGCGGCCCGAUAAGUCCGCUGUGAAAGUCCAGGGCUCAACCCUGGAAUGCCGGUGGAUACUGUCGGGCUCGAGUCCGGAAGAGGAGAAUGGAAUUCCUGGUGUAGCGGUGAAAUGCGCAGAUAUCAGGAAGAACACCCGUGGCGAAGGCGGUUCUCUGGGACGGUACUGACGCUGAGACGCGAAAGCGUGGGGAGCGAACAGG